rnacentral:rRNA from 1 species
AUUGAACGCUGGCGGCAUGCCUAACACAUGCAAGUCGAGCGGAUGAAGGGAGCUUGCUCCUGGAUUCAGCGGCGGACGGGUGAGUAAUGCCUAGGAAUCUGCCUGGUAGUGGGGGAUAACGUCCGGAAACGGGCGCUAAUACCGCAUACGUCCUGAGGGAGAAAGUGGGGGAUCUUCGGACCUCACGCUAUCAGAUGAGCCUAGGUCGGAUUAGCUAGUUGGUGGGGUAAAGGCCUACCAAGGCGACGAUCCGUAACUGGUCUGAGAGGAUGAUCAGUCACACUGGAACUGAGACACGGUCCAGACUCCUACGGGAGGCAGCAGUGGGGAAUAUUGGACGAUGGGCGAAAGCCUGAUCCAGCAAUGCCGCGUGUGUGAAGAAGGUCUUCGGAUUGUAAAGCACUUUAAGUUGGGAGGAAGGGCAGUAAGCUAAUACCUUGCUGUUUUGACGUUACCAACAGAAUAAGCACCGGCUAACUUCGUG